rnacentral:miRNA from 1 species
GCUUUGCUAUCACAGCAGACCCUCCCUCCCAGACCCUCCCACCUCCUGGCCAGCAUCCAUGUUGAAGCUGCCUUCAACAUGGAUGCUGUCCAGGAGGUGGGAGGGUCUGGGAGGGAGGGUCUGCUGAAGAUUGGCC